rnacentral:rRNA from 1 species
AUACUAUUAUUUACAAUGAACCCUUUAUUUUUACUGAAUAUUUCUAUAAAGUUAUAGAACCUUUUAUGUUGAAACUAGUAACAAGAAGUUAAACUUCUCCUCAAUAUAAGUAUAAGUCGACUAGGAUAAACCAUCGACAAUUAACGCUUAAAUUAAAUGUAUUAACUCCACAAGAAAAACUUACAUUACCCCACGUUAAUCUUACACCAGAACAUUUAAGGAAAGAUUUAAAAAAAAGGAAGGAACUCGGCAAACAUUAACCCCGCCUGUUUACCAAAAACAUCGCCUUCUGAUAUAUUAUAGAAGGUCCAGCCUGCCCAGUGAAUUAAUUUAACGGCCGCGGUAUCCUAACCGUGCGAAGGUAGCGUAAUCACUUGUUCUUUAAAUGAGGACUAGUAUGAAUGGCACCACGAAGGUUAUACUGUCUCCCUUUUUUGAUCAGUUAAACUAAUCUUCACGUGAAGAAGCGUGAAUAAACAUAUAAGACGAGAAGACCCUAUGGAGCUUAAAAUUACACAACAAUUGUUAAAAAAAUCCUAAAUUUUAUAAAUAAUUUUUUACUAAACACCAUGAUUGCUAAUUUUUGGUUGGGGUGACCGCGGAGUAAAAAUUAACCUCCACAAUGAAAGAAAUCAAUAUUCUAAACUAAGAGCUACAACUCAAAGUAUUAAUAUUUUAACAUUCUUUGAUCCAAUAUUUGAUCAACGAACAAAGUUACCCUAGGGAUAACAGCGCAAUCUACUUUGAGAGCUCCUAUCGACAAGUAGGUUUACGACCUCGAUGUUGGAUCAGGGUAUCCUAGUGGUGCAGCCGCUACUAAUGGUUCGUUUGUUC